rnacentral:pre_miRNA from 1 species
AGUAGAAUUGCUAGGUCAUAUGGUAUUUCCAAGUUUAGCUUUUUGAGGAACUACCAAACUGUUUUCCACAGUAGCUAUAUUAUUUUAAAUUUCUACCAGCAAU